AUUGAACGCUGGCGGAAUGCUUUACACAUGCAAGUCGAACGGUAGAGGGGGCAACCCUCGAGAGUGGCGAACGGGUGAGUAAUAUAUCGGAACGUGCCCAGUCGUGGGGAUAACGUAGCGAAAGUUACGCUAAUACCGCAUACGAUCUACGGAUGAAAGCGGGGGACCGUAAGGCCUCGCGCGAUCGGAGCGGCCGAUGUCAGAUUAGGUAGUUGGUGGGGUAAAGGCUCACCAAGCCGACGAUCUGUAGCUGGUCUGAGAGGACGACCAGCCACACUGGGACUGAGACACGGCCCAGACUCCUACGGGAGGCAGCAGUGGGGAAUUUUGGACAAUGGGCGCAAGCCUGAUCCAGCAAUGCCGCGUGCAGGAAGAAGGCCUUCGGGUUGUAAACUGCUUUUGUACGGAACGAAAAGGCUCUGGUUAAUACCUGGGGCUCAUGACGGUACCGUAAGAAUAAGCACCGGCUAACUACGUG
rnacentral:rRNA from 1 species